rnacentral:rRNA from 1 species
AAUGGAGGCAACCCUGAACCAGCCAUGCCGCGUGAAGGAAGAAUGUCUACGGAUUGUAAACUUCUUUUAUUUGGGAAGAACCCUUGCUCGAGUAGCAGGCUGACGGUACCAAAAGAAUAAGGACCGGCUAACUCCGUGCCAGCAGCCGCGGUAAUACGGAGGGUCCAAGCGUUAUCCGGAAUCAUUGGGUUUAAAGGGUUCGCAGGCGGUUUAAUAAGUCAGUGGUGAAAUCUCGGGGCUCAACCUCGAAACUGCCAUUGAUACUGUUAGACUUGAAUACAGUUGGAGUAGGCGGAAUGUGUAGUGUAGCGGUGAAAUGCUUAGAUAUUACACAGAACACCGAUAGCGAAGGCAGCUUACUAAACUGUUAUUGACGCUCAUGAACGAAAGCGUGGGGAGCGAACAGGAUU